rnacentral:rRNA from 1 species
AUACCCUGGUAGUCCACGCUGUAAACGAUGUCGACUUGGAGGUUGUUCCCUUGAGGAGUGGCUUCCGGAGCUAACGCGUUAAGUCGACCGCCUGGGGAGUACGGCCGCAAGGUUAAAACUCAAAUGAAUUGACGGGGGCCCGCACAAGCGGUGGAGCAUGUGGUUUAAUUCGAUGCAACGCGAAGAACCUUACCUACUCUUGACAUCCAGAGAACUUAGCAGAGAUGCUUUGGUGCCUUCGGGAACUCUGAGACAGGUGCUGCAUGGCUGUCGUCAGCUCGUGUUGUGAAAUGUUGGGUUAAGUCCCGCAACGAGCGCAACCCUUAUCCUUUGUUGCCAGCGGUUCGGCCGGGAACUCAAAGGAGACUGCCAGUGAUAAACUGGAGGAAGGUGGGGAUGACGUCAAGUCAUCAUGGCCCUUACGAGUAGGGCUACACACGUGCUACAAUGGCAUAUACAAAGAGAAGCGACCUCGCGAGAGCAAGCGGACCUCAUAAAGUAUGUCGUAGUCCGGAUCGGAGUCUGCAACUCGACUCCGUGAAGUCGGAAUCGCUAGUAAUCGUGGAUCAGAAUGCCACGGUGAAUACGUUCCCGGGCCUUGUACACACCGCCCGUCACACCAUGGGAGUGGGUUGCAAAAGAAGUAGGUAGCUUAACCUUCGGGAGGGCGC